UACAGAGGUCCCAAGCGUUGUUCGGAUUCACUGGGCGUAAAGGGUGCGUAGGUGGUGAGGUAAGUCGGAUGUGAAAUCUCCGAGCUCAACUCGGAAACUGCAUUGGAAACUACCUUGCUCGAGGGUUGGAGGGGGGACUGGAAUGCUUGGUGUAGCAGUGAAAUGCGUAGAUAUCAAGCGGAACACCAGUGGCGAAGGCGGUUCUCUGGGCAUGUCCUGACGCUGAGGAGCGAAAGUGUGGGGAGCGAACAGG
rnacentral:rRNA from 1 species